CUCUACCGGCCUGACUCGAGCAGCUUUGCAG
rnacentral:piRNA from 1 species